GACGGAGGGUGCAAGCGUUGUUCGGAAUUACUGGGCGUAAAGCGUACGUAGGCGGCGGAUUAAGUCGAAUGUUAAAGGCCUGGGGCUCAACCCCAGAGAUGCAUUCGAUACUGGUCUGCUAGAGGGUGAUAGAGGAAAGCGGAAUUCCCAGUGUAGCGGUGAAAUGCGUAGAUAUUGGGAGGAACAUCAGUAGCGAAGGCGGCUUUCUGGGUCACACCUGACGCUGAGGUACGAAAGCGUGGGGAGCAAACGGG
rnacentral:rRNA from 1 species